rnacentral:lncRNA from 1 species
CUGAGCAACUCAAUGGGGAUUGGGAUGCAAGCGGCGUGGAUGCAAUGCCUCUGCCUGCAGCCUCGUAUCAUCAGCUGACAAAGCCCUGCAGUCAUGCUGCUGUGAGCAGAGAUGCCCGAUCCUCUAAGGAGAUGCAGGCUUCAGCACCAAACCUCUGCCCUGUCCUGAUGGGCUCUCGUGGAGCACAGACCUUCGUGUUGGAG